rnacentral:lncRNA from 1 species
AAAAAUCUGAAGUUUCCCUACUUGCUUGCGUAUAAAGGCACCCCACCUUGCUAUUGAAGUCAUAUUUUCAAGUGCUAAAGCACAUACCCAAUAGAAUCUAGACUUCUAAGAGAUAAAAAUCCUGCAAAUGGAGAGAUUGGAGAGCUAAAAAAAAUCGGCAGAACCUAGAGAAUUCAAGAGCUGAAAAUUUCUGAAAUUCUUUAGGUUUCUAUUCUGAGACAACUCCUGAAUAUUUGAAGAGGUAAAAGGAGUUGAGUUUGUUUUGGUAUUCAAGUAUUUGGUUCAUUUUGGUUGGAUCUUUGAUUGUUGGGGUUUAUUCAACAUUCUGCUAGUUCGAAAUUGCUUAAAAGUUAGGCAUUCCUUGAUUUUCCUGGGCUAGUGUUAUUGUUGUUUGCCGCUGCUUAUCAGUUUGCUGAAUCUCAUUUAUUUGCUUUCAUUAUUCCAGGUACAAGUUCUGAAUCCUUCAAGAUGUAAAGUCUAAUUUGAAGAUGAAAUGAAAGCAGUAUUAUGCCUUAGUUUGCUGUUUCCUUGCCUGAUGCUCAUAUUCCUUUAUCUACUCAUAUUAUAGUUUUAGUUGAUUUCUAUUUAAGUAACAAAUUCUAAUGUUGUACUUAAUUAUGGACUAUUGAACUUAUUUAGAUCUUAUUUGGUUAUUUUAGCACUAGUAGUGUUGAUUAGUUUUGCCAUUCAUGUUAGCUUGAAUGUAGAAAUGAUUUGGGAGUUAUCAGGUUCUAUCAUUGUCC